UGGGGGAUAUUGCACAAUGGGGGAAACCCUGAUGCAGCAACGCCGCGUGAAGGAAGAAGGUCUUCGGAUUGUAAACUUUUGUCCUUGGUGAAGAUAAUGACGGUAGCCAAGGAGGAAGCUCCGGCUAACUACGUGCCAGCAGCCGCGGUAAUACGUAGGGAGCGAGCGUUGUCCGGAUUUACUGGGUGUAAAGGGUGCGUAGGCGGAAGAGCAAGUCAGUAGUGAAAUCCAUGGGCUUAACCCGUGAACUGCUAUUGAAACUGUAUCUCUUGAGUGUCGGAGAGGUAGACGGAAUUCCUAGUGUAGCGGUGAAAUGCGUAGAUAUUAGGAGGAACACCAGUGGCGAAGGCGGUCUACUGGACGAUAACUGACGCUGAGGCGCGAAAGCGUGGGGAGCAAACAGGAUUAGAUACCCUGGUAGU
rnacentral:rRNA from 1 species